UGUUUGAUUAUGAGAACCUGGAAACAAAUGCAAAAACAAAACAUAAUGAAAUAAAAUAAAUUUUUAAAAAACACUGUUUACACUGUAAUCAUAGAAACACCUAGUGGCAUGGCGCGCUGUCCGCAGUUUUCUGGAUGUUAGGUGUCGACAAAUGGCAGCUCCCCAGAUUUAUGCAAACAAUGGCAAGAUUUUGGAGAAAAAUGAGUUUAAUUGAUGAUUCUGCUGUUGUGGCCAGCCCCCCUUCGUACUAGCAGGCUGGCUCGACUGCAUCGCCACCGCUGGCAUAAACAUAGGCUACGAUGUGUUUUUUCACAUAAAGAAAUGGUCAAUAGAACAAAUUGAUGUCUUAAUUUUGCCUUUUGGGACAAGCGAUGACCACUGUGAAGCCUCUAGAAUGAGCAAGAACUGUGAUAAGAGGCAAAGUAACUCGGAGCCCGCACACGGCCGCACUCUCCACUACAUGCAAGACAGCUCGACCUGCCGCACUUCAUAAUCUGGAUGUUGCGAACAGCCACCACCUGUCUUGUUUAUUGUGCUAAUUGAUGCAGUCAGAAACAAGGUGUUCUCAAGGCGAUGCAUUUUGGGAUCAUUGGCGGUUGUAUUUAAAGUGUCGUGGGCUACAGCUUCGACGCAGAGUGGGUGAGGCCUUCACGCUUCACACUGAGCCAACAGUUGGUGUUGCACCAACACAUAGAGAAGCUGUCACAAGUUGUCACCGUGGAGCACCGAGAUCUGCACAUCCCGCGGUCCUAUAAUGCUGAGAGCUCCUGGCCCAGUGCUCAGGCUCAGCUAGAGGCCCUGGCAGCCCACAAAAGCCCACAGGAAAGUAGCCUGUGUGGCUGCUUGAUGUGCCUCGCUUGCCAGUCUGCUGUCAGCUGCUGCCCCAGCAGCAGCUGAUGACCUUGUGCCCGUGCUUGUCUUCGUGCUCAUUCGUGCAAACCCACCCCACCUGCUCUCUACCGUCCAGUUUGUGGAGACCUUUCAGCGUGCCACUUGGUGCUGCCAGGGCGAGGCUGCGUACUGGUGGACCCAGUACGUUAUGUGCUCCUAUUGAGUUCAUCAAGAUAAUGGACUACUGAAGCUUGCACUGCUGCAUUGAACUUUCUUAGUGCACCUAAUUUGGUGGCUUAAGACAGGGGAGAAAAAAAAAAGCCAGGCCCAGCUGCGCCCCACAACUCCUUUUUGUUUUCUUUAUUGUAAAGGAGAGAUGGCUUGGGGCAUGCACUCUGAGCUUUUCACUGGCAAGACGAUUUAUAGAGUACAGAGCUCAAGAAUAACAUUGAUAUGCUGUCAUCUGUAGUGGUAGUUAGCAGUCUGGUGUGUCAACAGUUUUGUGCAUAAACAUGUGACUGCCUGUGUUUGAAAGAGAAAGUGAUAAGACCAGUGAGUAAAAGGGGCAUUUUCCCAGCAGGUACAAGAUAUUAUGGCUACAGCUUUUUCAAGUUUGUAGUUGUGUGUAAAGACCUGUGAAAGUGUCAUACUUUUGCAACUAAGUCCAAGCAGCUCAAAUGAGAUUACCUGACAAGAAAAUGUAAGGUCUACAACUAAAGUUGCACUUUUACCAUAAGAUCAGCUAGGUUGGUUUGCUUGUGUGUCUCCUUAGAGUGUCAAGAACAUUAAAUGAAGUUGGCUUUGCUUGAUGAAUCACAUUUUAGCUCACUUAUGUGAUGCGACAGUUUUAACAUAUUCAAAGGUAACUCAGAGAACUGCUUAAGCUAAAUUUAGUCAUGAUAUAGAUGAGGCAGAUAUUCAUUCUUGGAGAGUAGGGGGUUAAUAAAAGGGUCCAGUGUAUUGUUAUUGGUGACUCACAUAGUUUACUAGAGUUCAGGAAUGGUCUGAUACCUCCUUGCAAUUAUGUGCAAUUUGAUACCAAAGAAUAACAUAAUUACAUUAAGUAGUGAGUCACUGAUGCAAUAGGACAUUAUCCUGAAUCAGACCACACAUGUCCGCUCAAGAGCUGUGUACAAUUGACGGAGACUUAAUGCAGGCGUGGCACUGUAGUGGAAUUGCAAGGUACACCAGUAGCUGUGAAAAUAAAGUUGUAGUAGUGACAAAUACGGGUGCCAGCAGAAGACGAAGAAGACGGGUGUGGUUGUUGGUGCUUGCACUUGCUCCACUUAGCUGUAGACUGUUUCUGUGCAUUCUUAAAACGCCGAGUGCAUCUAACCUUGAACGUGUACUAUCAAUUGGUGGAGGUACUAGGUAGCAUUGCUGGUGACUGUCGGCAUGCGAUGUCAACAUAGGUCAGAGGAGCGUAAACAGGUGGAUGCUGGUAGGUGAUUGGUAGCUCCUCAGAAAUUUGCUCCUCUAUGGCCUGUAGUAGCGUUAGAGCAAGUGCCUGCACGGAGUCCGGGACGCAGGAAACAAGGGGCAAUUGUCGUGCCACUUCUUCUCGGACAAACUGCUGUAUCUGCCGCAUUAACAUUGUGGUGCCAGUAGAAACGGCGCCUACAGUUAACGCUGACAUGUUGGCCAUGUCAGAGCUCUGGAGGCGUGUAGAAAUGCGCUGUUUCCGCAACUCGUUGUAGCUCUGACAAUACUGGACCACAUCUGUGACAGUUUGGGGAUUUUCGCCAAAGAGUAUUUAGAAGGCGUCGUCCUCGAUCCCCUUCAUGAUGUGUCUGAUUUUAUCAGCUUUGAACAUAGCAAGGUUAGAUGCACUCGGGGUUUUUAUGAAUGCACAGAAACAGGCAACGGCCAAGCGGAGUGAGUGCGAGCACCAACAACCACACCCGUUGUCUUCUUUUGCUGGCGCCUGUAUUUGUCACUACAAGGUGUUGGAUUUGUGUCCCGCUAAGUGAAAGGGCUAGCUUAUAUCUUUCCUUAGCGAGUAGGUCACAUUUGGCACAGAUUGAUUUGUGCCAUCUCAGUGCUGCAUGCUACUAGGUUUGACCACAUGUUAUGCACCUUAGUGGUGUGGGUUGUGGGCUUCCAAAUAGUAAAAAAAGGGCUGCAAUUCGCUGGAUGUCCACAUUUACACAUCUGGAUGAGUCGCAGCAAAAAUAUCAUAUUGCAUUGCACCAAGUGACAAUUUCGACUUCAUACUUAUACUGAUUGUACUGACUUAUCCCACUCUCGUGUGUUCACGCAGAAAAUUGUCAUGAUGAGAACUCUACCUCUUGGGCUAGGUUGUGGUGUCAUGGCGCCUGGGAUGAUAACAGAUUAGUUUGAGUGGCAGAGGUUGUAAUGUAUGCUUGCUCAGCAUGUGAAGUGCAAGAAGUGAUCAUGAUUCUAGUGACACAAGCUUAUAAUGUAGCAAACUAUAAGCACAUUGUGUUAUUUAACAUUUUGUGUUUGCCUCAAAACAAGGCUUGGAGCACAUGAGCAGAGAGUAUUCUUUUAUGGUGUAAAUUUUGCAUAUUGAUGUGAUAUAAAUUGUCAUAUGUUUAGAAACUAGGAUGCUUAUAACUUGAAAGCAAGCUUAUGUGCUUAUUUUAAGUAAGCAAACAUGGAACAAUGCAGCUUUCAUAUUAUUUAACACUCUGCAGGAAUGGUAAAAUGCCAGGAUGCAAUGCCUCUUACUUGUCUCUGGCAGCAAUAAGUGAGUGAUGUGUUGUUAUUCCUCUUCAUGUGGCUAACGCCUUGGCUGAUAAAAUCUGAGUAAGUUGUGUAUAGCCUAUCAAGCCAUCUGAAUUGUUGAAGCACCCAGCUUGAUCUACUGGCAGUCGUACUUUCUAUUGAUGAAAAGGCUGGUGGCACAAGAAUGGGGCGUGUAUUUCAAGCUACGCACCAACCACAUUGUCACUUUUGUCAGUUGGGCAGUUAUGUGCGUCUUGGUGUUCAUAGCACAUUAAAAUGAGCAAAGCCAGCAA